rnacentral:lncRNA from 1 species
CUUGGAUAAUUUUUUGUUCUCGGAAAUUCUGUUUAGCUAAGUUUACUCUUUCUCAUAGCUAUAACUAUCCAUCUUUAAGUAUUUUUUUCUCUUCCAAGACAGCUUUCUCAUUUCUUAUCUCAUCUGUCUUCUUUCUUUUAGAAUUUUUGCCAAUUUUCUUAGCAUAACAACUUUAGGCUGUAUCGUGGCAAUUUCCCCAUCUGUUAUGAUUUUGUAAUCUUGUCUACAGGCCUCCCUUCAUCAUCACCAAUUGCUGCAUGGAACUGAAUUAUUCCUCAUCUCAGUUCACGGGUCAUUGUCUAUCAAGAAAAGACCUUUACCUUUUAUUAUUACUUUAAAACCUAUGUCUCUGCAUCAGUUCUCCAAUUUUCCUAGCUCUUCAGCCUGUGGAGCAAGCAGCUUCCCGCCCGUGCCCAUCUCACUUUCUCCUGUCUUGAGACACACACUGAAAUCACCACAGGCAUUUGACUGCUUCAUGCGGCACAGGAAGGAACACUGUGGGUCACCCUAACGGCCAAGCCCAUAAACAAGCCCCACUGCAAAACCAAACAAAUGCAAAAGGAGCUGCUCCACGGAAGUACCUGCCAACAAGACAGGUUCCUUUGCUACGAACGAUGGUGCCUGCGAGAGCCUCCAUCC